rnacentral:rRNA from 1 species
GACGAACGCUGGCGGCGUGCUUAACACAUGCAAGUCGAACGGAAAGGCCCUGCUUUUGUGGGGUGCUCGAGUGGCGAACGGGUGAGUAACACGUGAGUAACCUGCCCUUGACUUUGGGAUAACUUCAGGAAACUGGGGCUAAUACCGGAUAGGAGCUCCUGCUGCAUGGUGGGGGUUGGAAAGUUUCGGCGGUUGGGGAUGGACUCGCGGCUUAUCAGCUUGUUGGUGGGGUAGUGGCUUACCAAGGCUUUGACGGGUAGCCGGCCUGAGAGGGUGACCGGCCACAUUGGGACUGAGAUACGGACCAGACUCAUACGGGAGGCAGCAGUGGGGAAUAUUGCACAAUGGGCGGAAGCCUGAUGCAGCAACGCAGCGUGCGGGAUGACGGCAUUCGGGUUGUAAACCGCUUUCGCCUGUGACGAAGCGUGAGUGACGGUAAUGGGUAAAGAAGCACCGGCUAACUACGUG